AAAGAAGUACUUUCAUUGCCCCCAGUUUCCUGGUGAAGAAACAGCCUCAGGGAUGGUUAGCUGUCCAAGGAAGCCUCCCUGGAUCACCCAGCAGCAGGACAACCACCUCCUCAUUCUCUUGCCACACUUUGGCCUCAGUUGCAUUCAGUGCUGAUGCACAGUCCUUGGCUCUGCGGUGAAACUGAGCCCCGUGAAGGCAGGGACCGACUCCUACUCACUUCUCUUUCCCUAACACUCGGCACAGGGUCUGGCACAAAGUUGAGGUUCCAUAAAUGCGUGUAGGACCUGGCCAGAGGCCCUCCGGAAGCUCCCAUACUUGAGAACAAACAACUGCACCAAUGAGUGACAAAGCUCGGGCAGAGCUAUCACAGAGAGGAGACUCAGAACGUGAAGUCUUUAAUGGUUCCCAUGGAGGAAGAUGUCCAGUGGGUGACACGGCCCGGAAAGAGCCAGGGCUGGGCUCACCCAGGAUGCAGACAUCCAGGGACGUGUGACCAGCAUCUGUUGCCGUUGGUCAGUGCCCAGGCCACAUGGGGAGUGCAGAGUUUCCAACACGGCCCCUGGUUUUGGCCGAGUGGAAGGACACUCACGGCACGUCCUUCAUGGUGCUGAUUGUGGCCAGUGAUUCCGACAUACAGGGUGGCCCCGAGGCACCCAUGCAAAGUAAUUAAACCACCUGUAUAUUGCCCAUAAUUCUUUAAAAAAAAGAUAAAUUUUCUUCAUGUUCCUGGACAACCUUUCGUUUGUACAUUAAAAUCUU